CCUACGGGAGGCAGCAGUGAGGAAUAUUGGUCAAUGGGCGCGAGCCUGAACCAGCCAAGUCGCGUGAAGGAUGACUGCCCUAUGGGUUGUAAACUUCUUUUAUAAAGGAAUAAAGCGAGGCACGUGUGCCUUUUUGUAUGUACCCUACGAAUUAGGAUCGGCUAACUCCGUGCCAGCAGCCGCGGUAAUACGGAGGAUCCGAGCGUUAUCCGGAUUUAUUGGGUUUAAAGGGGGCGUAGAUGGGUUGUUAAGUUAGUUGUGAAAGUUUGCGGCUCAACCGUGAAAUUGCCAUUGAUACUGGCGGUCUUGAGUACGGGUGAGGUAGGCGGAAUGCGUGGUGUAGCGGUGAAAUGCUUAGAUAUCACGAAGAACCCCGAUUGCGAAGGCAGCUUACUAAACUGUGACUGACGUUGAGGCACGAAAGUGUGGGUAUCAAACAGGAUUAGAUACCCGGGUAGUC
rnacentral:rRNA from 1 species